GUGAAUCAUCGAAUCUUUGAACGCACAUUGCGCCCGCCAGUAUUCUGGCGGGCAUGCCUGUCCGAGCGUCAUUUACAACCCUCAAGCCUUCCGGCUUGGUGUUGGGGCGACUACGCGCGCCGUAGGCCCCGAAUCUCAGUGGCGGGCUCGCCGCGACCCCGAGCGUAGUAGCAUGAAAAAGAACUCGCUCCAGGGCGCGCCGCGGCGGGCGCCGGCCGUUAAAACAACCACACGAAAAAAAGGUUGACCUCGGAUCAGGUGGGAAUACCCGCUGAACUUAAGCAUAUCAAUAAGCGGAGGA
rnacentral:misc_RNA from 1 species